UUGUAAUGAUGUUGCCAAAUGUCUGACCUGAAGCAAUAAUGUGGACUAUUCUUUACUGAAAGA
ensembl:snoRNA